rnacentral:rRNA from 1 species
AGGUAGUCGAGAUGAGUAUUCUAAGGCGCUCGGGUGAGCCGCGGAGAAGGAACUAGGCAAAUUAACGCUGUAACUUCGGGAUAAAGCGUACCGUCUUUGACGGUCUCAGUAAAUUGGUUCAACCAACUGUUUAGCAAAAACACAGGGCCCUGCAAAAUCGUAAGAUGACGUAUAGAGCCUGAUACCUGCCCGGUGCUGGAAGGUUAAGGAAGGAUGUUCGGCGCAAGCCAAAGCUUUCGACUGAAGCCCCAGUAAACGGCGGCCGUAACGAUAACGGUCCUAAGGUAGCGAAAUUCCUUGUCGGGUAAGUUCCGACCUGCACGAAUGGUCUAAUGAGUUGAACACUGUCUCCUCCGCGAGCCCGGUGAAAUUGUAGUAUCGGUGAAGAUGCCGGUUACCCGCCACGGGACGAAAAGACCCCGUGAACCUUCACUACAGCUUCGCAUUGAUUUUGAGUAACAGAUGUGUAGAAUAGUUGGGACGCUACGAAGCCAUGCCGCCAGGUGUGGUGGAGCGGUCGUUGAAAUACCAACCUUCUGUUACUUAGAGUCUAAUCCCGAAAGGGAGACAUUGCAUGGUGGGUAGUUUGACUGGGGUGGUCGCCUCCUAAAAAGUAACGGAGGCUCGCAAAGGUGCCCUCAGCAUGGUUGGUAAUCAUGCGUAGAGCGUAUUAGUAUAAGGGCGCUUGACUGUGAGACUGACAAGUCGAGCAGGUGCAAAAGCAGGCUAAAGUGAUCCGGUGGUUCCGCAUGGAAGGGCCAUCGCUCAAAGGAUAAAAGGUACUCCCGGAUAACAGGCUGAUCUCCCCCAAGAGCUCAUAUCGACGGGGAGGUUUGGCACCUCGAUGUCGGUUCGCCACAUCCUGGGGCUGGAGAAGGUCCCAAGGGUUCGGCUGUUCGCCGAUUAAAGUGGCACGUGAACUGGGUUCAGAACGUCGCAAGACAGUUCGGUCUCUAUCUGUGGUGGGCGUUAGUAAAUUGAGAAGACAUGACCUUAGUACGAGAGGACCGGGUCGUACACACCGCUGGUGUAUCUGUUGUGCCGCCAGGUGCAGUGCAGAGUAGCUAUGUGUGGCAAGGAUAAGCGCUGAAAGCAUCUAAGCGCGAAACCUUCUUCAAGAUGAGUUUACUUUUAAGGGUCGUAGUAGACGACUACGUUGAUAGGCUAUAGGUGUAAAGCUAGUAAUAGCAAAGCCGAGUAGUACUAAUUGCCCGUAAGCUUUUAAA